CUCAUCAUCGAGGGAAUAGAGAACAUCAAAGCUCAUGUGAAAAAGGAGAAAUUUGAAGAUGCAAGAAAGACACUUGGGGCAAUCCUGCAUACUUUACAGGAUUUCUACAGUCACAGUAACUGGAUAGAGCUGGGAAACACUGAACCCUGUACUGCCCUGAUCAAUCCAGACGAGAACAUACCCAACCCUGCAGAAAAAGAACAACCAACAUGUAAGGCAAACUGUGCUAAUGAAAAUUGUGGGGCCACAAUUCUGCAAGACAUUAUUGACAAAAAGAUUUUGACAUCAGGACACUUUGGAGUAAAAAAGCCACCAGGUAAAUGUAGCCAUGGAGGUACUCUAGACUUCACAACUGGCACUGGGAGAAGCUGGGAUGGUAUCAAUAAAGACUACAGGGAUUCCAGUCAUGGUUUACUCCAUAAUAAAGCUGCAGAGGUUGCCAUUAAGGCCAGUGUGCAGCUGCUGGAGAAGAUCUGGA